rnacentral:rRNA from 1 species
UACGUAGGGUGCGAGCGUUGUCCGGAAUUAUUGGGCGUAAAGAGCUCGUAGGCGGUGUGUCACGUCGUUCGUGAAAACCUGCAGCUUAACUGUGGGCGUGCGGUCGAUACGGGCAUCACUGGAGUUCGGCAGGGGAGACUGGAAUUUCUGGUGUAGCGGUGAAAUGCGCAGAUAUCAGGAGGAACACCGGUGGCGAAGGCGGGUCUCUGGGCCGAUACUGACGCUGAGGAGCGAAAGCGUGGGGAGCAAACAGG